rnacentral:lncRNA from 1 species
CACGUUUUUAGGCUCCGAACAUGGGUUACUUUUGUGGAACGUCGUUUUGCUCUUUUCCAUGUUGUUUGGAUGAAUGAAAAAGCAAGUUUGUGAAACGCGGUUUCUGUCUCCAAAACACAGUCUUCCUGAAGCUGAGAUUCAGAGCUUCUACGGCAGAUGAAAACCACGUUUCAGCCUUUAAUUUCUCAAGUGGCAGGUACUUACCUAAUUACCUCUAAAUUCAAGCCUUCAAAUUCUCUUUCUCACAGUUUUCUUCCUUUUCAUUACUUCACAUCACUUCAACCUUAAAUUUUCUACUAAUUGUGAAGAUUUUGCAUAUCCAAGCUUUCAAUUUUCUUCAGCUUUUCCCCUAUUUUUUUUAUUUUUAUUUUUUCAGAUUUCGUGGUUAAUCUCAUUACUCAUGGUAGAUGUGUUGGUUUGGAUGAAUGAAAAAGCAAGUUUGUGAAACGCGGUUUCUGUCUCCAAAACACAGUCUUCCUGAAGCUGAGAUUCAGAGCUUCUACGGCAGAUGAAAACCACGUUUCAGCCUUUAAUUUCUCAAGUGGCAGGUACUUACCUAAUUACCUCUAAAUUCAAGCCUUCAAAUUCUCUUUCUCACAGUUUUCUUCCUUUUCAUUACUUCACAUCACUUCAACC